AGCAUGUACAGCAAAUACUGCAUCACUCCUCAUGUGUACUAGUUACACCAAUGCCAAGCAAGGAAAGGGCAUGCAUAACACCUCUCAGUUUCAUGUGCUGUUCUAGUCUGCAGGAAUGGCUAGUGUGGCUCCAUUGCUAUCAUGUCCACUGCCUAAAUCCACCCCAAAGGCAGUCAUGGGAUGUGAAAUUCUUGACAAAGUUAAAUGGGAACAUCAGUGGUUUGUUCAAAUCAAUGUAGGAGUACACCCAGAAGACACCAUCAGUUUAACCUGAUUCAACUGACAAGAGCCUGCGGUCAUUACAUCUGACCUUGAUAUUGCAGACGUUCAGCCAUAACACCCUACACCUAAAAGUUUACUAAGAAUUUUGUCACUGUUUAAUCCGGCUGCUUUCUACUACAGUGGGGUUAGUGAGUCUCAUCUCACCUGAUAUCUCUCAACUUUGCAACAAGUUAGAAAUGAUCUAACCAACCUCUUUCGUGACAAAGCCAUCUGCAAAUGCAAAAGGAUUUUAACCUGAAGGUAGCUGUUAAAGUGCCCUGCAAAUUUGCCUACAAAUAAUGCCAUCUGAGAGGUGAUCAACCAUAAGAGUGUUCUGCUACAAAGUGUGACUGUUUUUGUUUUUCUUCUUUUUUUUUUACUUUUGCAAUUUUCUCUUAACUUUUCAUGACAUGGCUAAAAUGGGAUAAUGAAGUCCAGACCUCCCACCUAGUCAAGAAAAAUAAAUAAAUAAAUACUCAAUCUUCACUUACUGUGCUUUUAAGACUGGACAUUUUUGCAGCAUAGGCUCUUAGCUCUAAAUUUGUUUAAUGCAGCAUUAUAGAGUUUAAAGUACUUGUUUUGCAGUUUUAAAAUUAAAAAGAAUGUUUACUUACUAAGAAAUCAGUUGGAGGCGUUAGCAUUAAGUUUGUUAGGCUGAUGAACUACAGCAUCUAACAUACAAAGAAAAGCAGGAGUUUCAAAAGAGAAAGAAAUACGUCAUUGCUGUUAUGGUCAAAAUUCACUAUUUGCUUUUUGGGGCUUGGAAAUCAGUUGCAUUUGUCUGUGAGUUAGUACAAAGGAUUAAGGCUCUGAUCUGUUAAUGAGCUGUUUCAGACUUGUAGUCAAGCAUAUAGGGUUUCAACCCCUUUAACUCCAUUUGCUUACAGUAUAACUCACAAGUCAUUUAACCUGACAGCGCUUCUGGGUUGCCAUUGAAAAGGGCCAUUUGUGUUCAGUGGGUUUACCUGGUUAACAAAUAUGUACAAAACGAACAUUAUUUCUAGCUAUAGUGAGUACGAUACAGCGUGUCUGUUGUUAGUGUCUUAAACAGAUAAGACCACUGUGUGGCAUAAACCAAAAGCAGUUUGUGGACUCCUCGUGGCACCUAAUUAUAAGAUUUAAGGAUACGUGGUGACUGAAAAUGACCAGACUCUGAAUGUGAAUAAAAUUGAUUAGCAGGUGAAGCUGCAUGGCAGGCACCAUCUGAACAAUCCUGUAAUUCCUUACAUUUCUGAUUUUUUUGUUUGUGAAAUGUUUUGUAUUUCACCUGGGCUGAGCCUAGGAUUGGUCAUAUUAAUCAGCAUACUACCCCAGUAAACAAAUAUAAAUGAAAUAAAAUAUAUUAGAUCUGGAAAGGCUACAGGUAUACAUACAGAAAUGAAGUUAACUAGAAUUUCAGUAGAAGAUCUAGAUGUUAAAAGAAUCCAGCCAGGAAGCAAUGAUUUAAAUCUGAAUGAGAAAUUAAAAAGCACCACAGAGGAAAUUUGGAAUUAAGACAUCGCAGCUCUGAAACUAGUGCCAGAUCAGGUAAAUAACAUGGAUGAACUAGGACUUCUAUAUUGAAUUAUAAACUGAAUUAUAAAUACAUGGUUUAUUUGGAAGAAGAAAGAUAUAUAAUGGUUAUCUGUUUAUGUCCAGUUUUGAAGACGAGAUAUAUAAUGGUUAUACAAUUAUAUUUGCUUGACUGUGGACAUUUAAGCAGAAAUAAAAAAAUGG